GUGGUAAUGCCGGAUGCUCCAGUCCAUCGCAUGGUGGUCUGGGAAAGAUUCCAUCGGUAUGGGAUGGGGUCGCGUCCUAUCAGCUUGAUGGCGGGGUAACGGCCCACCAUGGCUUCGACGGGUAGCCGGCCUGAGAGGGCGACCGGCCACAUUGGGACUGAGAUACGGCCCAGACUCCUACGGGAGGCAGCAGUGGGGAAUAUUGCACAAUGGGCGCAAGCCUGAUGCAGCGACGCCGCGUGCGGGAUGGAGGCCUUCGGGUUGUAAACCGCUUUUGAUCGGGAGCAAGCCCUUCGGGGUGAGUGUACCCUUCGAAUAAGCACCGGCUAACUACGUGCCAGCAGCCGCGGUAAUACGUAGGGUGCAAGCGUUAUCCGGAAUUAUUGGGCGUAAAGGGCUCGUAGGCGGUUCGUCGCGUCCGGUGUGAAAGCCCAUCGCUUAACGGUGGGUCUGCGCCGGGUACGGGCGGGCUGGAGUGCGGUAGGGGAGACUGGAAUUCCCGGUGUAACGGUGGAAUGUGUAGAUAUCGGGAAGAACACCAUUGCGAUGG
rnacentral:rRNA from 1 species